rnacentral:rRNA from 1 species
AGAUUGAACGCUGGCGGCAGGCCUAACACAUGCAAGUCGAGCGGUAGAGAGGUGCUUGCACCUCUUGAGAGCGGCGGACGGGUGAGUAAUGCCUAGGAAUCUGCCUAGUGGUGGGGGAUAACGUUCGGAAACGGACGCUAAUACCGCAUACGUCCUACGGGAGAAAGCGGGGGACCUUCGGGCCUCGCGCCAUUAGAUGAGCCUAGGUCGGAUUAGCUAGUUGGUGAGGUAAUGGCUCACCAAGGCGACGAUCCGUAACUGGUCUGAGAGGAUGAUCAGUCACACUGGACCUGAGACACGGUCCAGACUCCGUACGGGAGCGAGCAGGUGGGAAUAUGGAACAGUGGCGAAAGCCUGGUCCAGCAUGCCGCGUGUGUAGAAGGUAAGGUCGUUGGA